rnacentral:rRNA from 1 species
CCGGUAAACGGCGGCCGUAACUAUAACGGUCCUAAGGUAGCGAAAUUCCUUGUCGGGUAAGUUCCGACCUGCACGAAUGGCGUAAUGAUGGCCAGGCUGUCUCCACCCGAGACUCAGUGAAAUUGAACUCGCUGUGAAGAUGCAGUGUACCCGCGGCAAGACGGAAAGACCCCGUGAACCUUUACUAUAGCUUGACACUGAACAUUGAGCCUUGAUGUGUAGGAUAGGUGGGAGGCAACGAAGUGUGGACGCCAGUCUGCACGGAGCCAUCCUUGAAAUACCACCCUUUAACGUUUGAUGUUCUAACCCGGGUCCAUAAUCUGGAUCGGGGACCGUGUCUGGUGGGUAGUUUGACUGGGGCGGUCUCCUCCCAAAGAGUAACGGAGGAGCACGAAGGUUGGCUAAGCAUGGUCGGACAUCAUGCGGUUAGUGCAAAGGCAUAAGCCAGCUUGACUGCGAGAGUGACGGCUCGAGCAGGUACGAAAGUAGGUCUUAGUGAUCCGGUGGUUCUGAAUGGAAGGGCCAUCGCUCAACGGAUAAAAGGUACUCCGGGGAUAACAGGCUGAUACCGCCCAAGAGUUCAUAUCGACGGCGGUGUUUGGCACCUCGAUGUCGGCUCAUCACAUCCUGGGGCUGAAGUAGGUCCCAAGGGUAUGGCUGUUCGCCAUUUAAAGUGGUACGCGAGCUGGGUUUAGAACGUCGUGAGACAGUUCGGUCCCUAUCUGCCGUGGGCGCUGGAAGAUUGAGAGGGGUUGCUCCUAGUACGAGAGGACCGGAGUGAACGCACCACUGGUGUACGGGUUGUGAUGCCAAUUGCAUUGCCCGGUAGCUAAGUGCGGAAGAGAUAACCGCUGAAAGCAUCUAAGCGGGAAACUUGCCUCGAGAUGAGUCUUCCCUGAUUCUUUAAGAAUCCUGAAGGAACGUUUGAGACUAAGACGUUGAUAGGCUGGGUGUGUAAGCGCAGCGAUGCGUUGAGCUGACCAGUACUAAUGAACCGUGAGGCUUAACCUG